CCUACGGGAGGCAGCAGUCGAGAAUCAUUCACAAUGGGGGAAACCCUGAUGGUGCGACGCCGCGUGGGGGAAUGAAGGUCUUCGGAUUGUAAACCUCUGUCAUGUGGGAGCAAAUUAAAAAGAUAGUACCACAAGAGGAAGAGCCGGCUAACUCUGUGCCAGCAGCCGCGGUAAUACAGAGGUCUCAAGCGUUGUUCGGAAUCACUGGGCGUAAAGCGUGCGUAGGCUGUUGCGUAAGUCGUGUGUGAAAGGCGCGGGCUCAACCCGCGGACGGCACAUGAUACUGCGAGACUAGAGUAAGGGAGAGGGAACCGGAAUUCUCGGUGUAGCAGUGAAAUGCGUAGAUAUCGAGAGGAACACUCGUGGCGAAGGCGGGUUCCUGGACAUUAACUGACGCUGAGGCACGAAGGCCAGGGGAGCGAAAGGGAUUAGAUACCCCAGUAGUC
rnacentral:rRNA from 1 species